ensembl:Mt_tRNA
GUUAAGAUGGCAGAGCCCGGCAAUUGCAUAAAACUUAAGACUUUAUAAACCAGAGGUUCAAUUCCUCUUCUUAACA